rnacentral:rRNA from 1 species
UACGUAGGGGGCGAGCGUUGUCCGGAUUUAUUGGGCGUAAGAGCUCGUAGGCGGUUCGAUAAGUCGGACGUGAAAUCUCCACGCUCAACGUGGAGGGGGCCGUUCGAUACUGUCGUGACUCGAGUCCGGUAGGGGAGUGUGGAAUUCCCGGUGUAGCGGUGAAAUGCGCAGAGAUCGGGAGGAACACCCGUAGCGAAGGCGGCACUCUGGGCCGGUACUGGACGCUGAGGAGCGAAAGCGUGGGGAGCAAACAGGGAUUAAGAA